ACCUGGCACAGAGGGAAACGUCAUGAACGUCAUGAACACAGGAAUAAUGCAUGUUUUAUAAUAAAGAUCAAUUAUUAAUAAAUGUUCACCACAAGGAAAUAGAUUUUAACAAAUUCAUAGCAUUCUGGGAAUUUUCCUUUAUAACCAGGAAAGUUUGGUUUUAUUUGAUGUUUUCACCAUUUGUUCAUGUUGUAUUUAUCUUUAACAUUAUUUCUGGUUAACAUUUGGAGGUAUGCAUGUAAGGGGCCCGUGGCAUUUUUACAAACACCCUCUAUAUGGGUUACAUACUGAGUCUGAUGUCUCUAUGAGAACGUCACCCACAACAUUUUAAUGAGUCGCUAAAGAUAAAAGAUCGACAUUUAUAAAAGUUGUAAAAAAGUUUAAAGUUUAGUAAAAGUAUAAUUUAUGCUACCAUGAAUGAUGUUGUUUAAACUUUAAGUCCGAUUGUUUUUAUCCCAUGGUGCACCCUUUCAUAUCAGGACUUCCUGGACUACUUUUAUUUUGUAUUAUCACCUGCCAAACUUAAGAGAACACUUAAGAUUACUCAUCAGAGCCUCGUGGCACUCUCUCCAUCCAUCGUAAAUCAAAGUAAUGACCUGUCAAGUUUACUUUCUGACGUGGGCGAGCCUUAAAGACCUUUGACUCUAAAAGAAACAGCUUCAUAAAUAUAUAAAGAAGAGAGACAACAGGAGUGCUUCUGGUAUCCCUCAAACCCCGGUGCUCAUGGAAGGGGAGACCUUUAAAAAGUGGAGGAAAACUUGAGACCAAAAGUAUAAAUGAUCCAGGUCCAGGACUCAGAACAUAAAAGUCCUUUAACUCAUAGGGCUAGAAAGAUUUAAAAUACACCAACUCUGGUGACACCUGUGGUGACUGCAGAGAAUUUCACCUGUCGAUAAGGAGCUGCUGAAUUUUCCCGAUCGCUUCCUGGUGCGUUUCAGGAUGUCAGUGGUCCAGUUUGAUACACUGCGCUAUACUGGAACCACAGAUUAAAAAGAAGAACACCAAUUUCUGCAAAGCAAUUGAUCCUGAACAGCAGCUGGCAGUAUGUUGGAGUUUGUCGUGACCCCAGGUUGAUGACAGGUGUGCCAAAGGCCCCGGCCUCUCGUACCCCACAGCUGCUGUUUCCGAUCAUGCAGCCGGCGUGGCACACCAGCUGGAUGAACUGCUCGAAGGGAAUGUGCUUCAUCGCCCGAAAGUUUGGGUGCUGCUCGAUGCCCUUCUUUCGCAUCACGCGCACCAUCCCCUUACUUCCUGUUUUCAUAAAAAAAACGCCAGGACACAGAUGAAUCGAUAAAGUUUCAAGCAAACCAAAGUCUAGCAUCCGGCAGGCAGAGUCAGUGGCAUCUUUUAAACCACUUCUUAAAACUCACUUUUAUAGACUUGCUUUUAUGUGAUUUCUCCUUUAAAGAUCUAUCUCUUCCUUUUAUUAAUUUUAUUUAUUUUACCCUUUUUAUCUUUCUCUUCUUUAAAUGUUUUAGCCUUUAAAUAUAUCCCUUCCUGUAUUAAUUUUACUGCUGUUAGUCUUUUUAAAUUCCUACUCCUUUUAUCGUUUAACUCUUCAGCUCUCUGUUGCUUUAUUCAUUUAACCAAUCUCCUGUUUAUCCCUUCUUUUUAUCUUCAUUCUGUGUUUACAGCCUGUGAUGUGAUGUCGUCCCACUCUCCCUCAAUUUAAAUUUUGUUCUCUCCUGGUUGAUUCUAAACUAAUUUUCCUUCAUUGUAUUGAACUGUGUCUCCAUACCUGCCUGUUGAAUCUUUAUUAUUCCUGUUAUUUGCAUUUAUACAAUUUUGCCCUCUCUGUUUGGCCCCUCUGUUGAUCUCUGUUCUGUUGUCGUGUUGCUGUAUUUGCUUUGUCUGUCACAGCACUGUAAACAUUUGUUUUUAAAGGUGCUAUAUAAAUAAAACUAUUAUUAUUAUUA